AUGGAUGAGGCCGGCAAUAGGCGACGCCGUUCCUUCCAAUAUCGAGGAUUUGGGGGUUGCGCAGGUUUGGAGCAGCCAACCAUGGAUUCGCUGUUUGAGUUAUCUCUGCAGCGCAUCGGGGCUGGAUAUCCUCGGCACCAGCGCACCGCCAACAUCCCUAGUGUUAAAAUCUCUAUUCUUUGUUUGAAGGUUCUUCUGCUUGGCUCAUUUCCUAUUUUUGUGCUUCAAAUGCAGAGUGUUCCUGUUCAAGAUGGACAAACACCUCCACUGAACAAGAAGAACCUUUUGGAAAAUUGGUUGGCGGAAGACAAGUUGGAGUGCAGUGAAGAGCUUGGAGAUCUUGUAAAGAUGGUAGACAAUGAUCUGGCGUUAAAAAUAUACAUAAAGGCUAUGGCAACCCCUAAAGUCGUCACCGCUUUCGCUGAGAGGAGGGACUUUGACAAGAUCCUUAUAUACUCAAAGCAGGCACUCGUUGAGUUCUUUGGAACCCUUUCUAAAGAAUGGGCAUUAGAAUGCAUGAAGGACCUUCUACUGGUCAACCUGAGAGGAAAUCUUCAAAUUGUUGUGCAGAUUACUCACUAUCUGUACACAAACAAUAUGCUCCGGUAUCUCUGUAACUCUCAUAAAUUUACAGAAGGUGAACCCUGGAAAUGCUCCGUUGGUAGUGGGGCAGUUACUUGA
rnacentral:rRNA from 1 species